AAUGGUAUAUUCAUCAUAACUCCAACUUGAAUCAUCCCCCGCCAGUCACCUAGGCCUUACCAUAGGCGGAAUGUUGACGUUACUCCACAAAUACAAUCCAAAUCUAAUAUCCUUGUUACACUUACACUAAACUGUUUAAAGGUAUGUUAGCUUAAUGUUUGACUAGAUACAAAACAUCACAACAAUUUAAGCUAUAGAGUAAAAAAU
rnacentral:misc_RNA from 1 species